CAGUGGGCAGCUGCACACUGACAGGAGCCUUGUUCUUUCCUGUGUUUGAGCACAGUCUGCAAACUGGAACAGCAGCGCUCCAAUGAUGGAGCCACUCGCUGCUGCAGUUUGCGGUGUUUACGGCAUUGUUUAUUCCGGCUAUUACUUGACUAAUCUGGCAUGUCACCUGAGGUGUGUAUUCGGAGGUGCCAAUCCUGAGAGCCCAGAACCAGCAGCAGUCUCUUCCCUGGCUCCCUGUGCUUCUGGAGAAGAGGCCAAAGAAGAGCAAAUUGAACAAGCAGAGCACAAGUGGCCUGAAAAUUUCUUGACAGUAAGUGCCAGUUCUGGGUGGGGCUGUCUUUAGUGAGGGGCAGAGCUGCAAGUUUCUGGCCAGCCAGCGCUUGCUGUUGGAGGCUGAGGGUGCUGAGGGCUGGAGUCCUGGCAGCACCUAGCCAUUCCCUCCAGCACAAGAUAGCUGGGAAUUGGGCUUUGAGCUGUCGUGCUGAGGCACCAAAGCACUGGUGCCUGUGGGUGAGCAUCUGGCUGCUUGGCUCAGUGCUGCUCUGAAUCUUGGCUUCUCCAAUGCCAUGGCCAAGGGCACUGGGGGGAGUUCUGGGCCUCACGGGGCUUGGUUUGUUUGCUUUCCCUUUUUAGAAUUCUGUGUUCAGCUAGUGAAACAGCUCUGUAGUUUUUUGAGCAAUUCUUCACUUUUACAGAGUCUGGUGGCCCAUCUGUCCUUUGGCUUUUGUUAAACUGUUGCCAUGACAUGCUGCCGGAUUUUCCCCAGCCAGCUCCCGGCACCGGGCCAGGAGUGGGCUGCUCCGGGGAAGCGCAGGAGCUUAGGGCUUAUGCUCUAUGGCACUGGCUGUCCAGUGUCAGGGACAGGAGCAAGGAGGGAGAGGUCUUCCAUGUGGCUUCAAAAGAGAUUUAUUCUCUUGAAGGAUCCAGAAACAAAAGACAAAAGAAACGGGGCGUACAGAAACUUCUCUGCGGGGGAGGAGCAAGGGGCGUGUACAUAUAACAACCCAACAGGGAAGACUUAGGGGAGGAGCACAAGGCGGGGUUACAUAAUACAUAAACCAAUGGAGAACACAAGGGGAGGAGAGUGGGGCACAUGGGCCAAUGGGGCUCGGAGGAGCAGGGGAAUUCCAAACGGGGCGGUCCAGGCAGGGGUUGGCACAAGGGAGGAUUGACAACUUAAUGGGCGGGGGAAGAGCGAACAUUCGGGAACAAGGGGCAGGUAUCAGGGUGGAUUGGCAACCGGGGUAGGAGGGCACAACUGGGAAUAAACUAUUACCAAGGGUAGGGGGUACGACUUAACAAUACAAAAGAUAAUUGAAUCAAAUAAAAUGAAUAAAAAUACACCACAACACUGCCAGGAGAUGGUAAUGUUGUCCAUGAAGCUGUGAAGGCCAUUCUUGUCCCAUGAGGCCAAAGAAACAAACUGUGUGGUUCUGAAGCCUUCCUCUGAGGUUAAAAGCGUAAGCAGCAAGCUUCUGUGGAUACAUUUUGUGGUGAAGUCUGCAGCUUUGAAAGCUGCUUUGAAGCCUCGAAUGCGGGGUGACUGAAAAUCCUUGAGAACAGGAAAGGCGUCUCCAAAUUCCGGAUGCUGUCUUUGCAGUCAAAUGUGUAACGUGG